GAUAUCCGUGGAAAAUCUACAGUUAAUACGUAUCGGCUUCUUCGGAAGUGUUGCAUAUUACUGUGAACUCUCGGCGAGGGAAACCUCGUCUCCAAUGAACACUUGUAUGCACGCAUCGUAUAUUUCAUACGAGCGUCCAUCAAAGUUUCUGCCCCAUCAGGUUCCGACGGUAGGGUAUUGGCCUACCGUGCCGAUAACGGGUAACGGGGGAUUAGGGUUUGAUUCCGGAGAGGCAGCAUGAGAAUUGGCUACCACAUCUAAGGAAGGCAGCAGGCGCGUAAAUUACCGAUCCCUGACGCAGGGAGGUAGUAAACAGAAAUAAUGACGCAUGAUUCUAAUCGUGCGAUCGGAAUGAGUGGACUUUAAACAAGUUCACGAAAACAAUUGGAGGGCAAGUCUGGUGCCAGCAGCCGCGGUAAUACCAGCUCCAAUAGCGUAUAUUAUUGAUGUUGCAGUUAAAAUGUUCGUAGUCGACCCUUAUCCUCUAAGGCGGUGCUUCAGCUUGUCUGAUCACUGCCCUCAGCGGAGAUCGUGCAAACAGCAUCACACGUUUCGUGUGUUGCUUUUGCAUUCUACUUUGAGUGAAUCGGCGUGUUCCACGCAGGCAAGUGCCUUGAACGAUUUACCAUAGGAUAGAAAGAGUAUGAAAUCGCUUUCUUGUUAGUUCGGAAGCGUUUUCUACACUGAUAAGAACGGUUGAUGGCAUUCGUAUUCAACUGCCAGAGGUGAAAUUCUUUGAUUAGUUGAGGACGAACAACUGCGAAAGCAUCUGCCAAGGACGUUUCUUUUGAUCAAGAACGAAAGUUAGGUGAUCGAAGAUGAUUAGAUACCGUUGUAGUCCUAACCAUAAACUUUGCU
rnacentral:rRNA from 1 species